GUGUGCUGUCCGCAUCUUUUGCGGCCCACUGAGAUGAAUGGGUCCGCAUUACAUCUGCAAAAAACGCGGAUCGGAUGCGACGGAAACUACGGCCGUGUGCAUCAGCCCUAAUAAAAGGGGUUCUUUUGUG